CGAAAACGAAUUCUCUCUUGAGUGGAUCCUGAGUACGACGGAGCACGUGAAAUUCCGUCGGAAUCUGGGAGGACCAUCUCCUAAGGCUAAAUACUCUCUAGUGACCGAUAGUGAACCAGUACCGUGAGGGAAAGGUGAAAAGUACCCCGGAAGGGGAGUGAAAGAGAACUUGAAACCGUGUGCUUACAAGUAGUCAGAGCCCGUUAAUGGGUGAUGGCGUGCCUUUUGUAGAAUGAACCGGCGAGUUACGAUCUGAUGCAAGGUUAAGCAGAAAAUGUGGAGCCGUAGCGAAAGCGAGUCUGAAUAGGGCGAAUGAGUAUUUGGUCGUAGACCCGAAACCAGGUGAUCUACCCUUGGUCAGGUUGAAGUUCAGGUAACACUGAAUGGAGGACCGAACCGACUUACGUUGAAAAGUGAGCGGAUGAACUGAGGGUAGCGGAGAAAUUCCAAUCGAACUUGGAGAUAGCUGGUUCUCUCCGAAAUAGCUUUAGGGCUAGCCUCAAGUGAUGAUUAUUGGAGGUAGAGCACUGUUUGGACGAGGGGCCCCUCUCGGGUUACCGAAUUCAGACAAACUCCGAAUGCCAAAUAAUUUAACUUGGGAGUCAGAAUGUGGGUGAUAAGGUCCAUAUUCGAAAGGGAAACAGCCCAGACCACCAGCUAAGGUCCCAAAAUAUAUGUUAAGUGGAAAAGGAUGUGGCGUUGCCCAGACAACUAGGAUGUUGGCUUAGAAGCAGCCAUCAUUUAAAGAGUGCGUAAUAGCUCACUAGUCGAGUGACACUGCGCCGAAAAUGUACCGGGGCUAAACAUAUUACCGAAGCUGUGGAUUGUCCUUUGGACAAUGGUAGGAGAGCGUUCUAAGGGCGUUGAAGCAUGAUCGCAAGGACAUGUGGAGCGCUUAGAAGUGAGAAUGCCGGUGUGAGUAGCGAAAGACGGGUGAGAAUCCCGUCCACCGAUUGACUAAGGUUUCCAGAGGAAGGCUCGUCCGCUCUGGGUUAGUCGGGUCCUAAGCUGAGGCCGACAGGCGUAGGCGAUGGAUAACAGGUUGAUAUUCCUGUACCACCAUUAUUCGUUUUAAGCGA
rnacentral:rRNA from 1 species